rnacentral:rRNA from 1 species
AUUGAACGCUGGCGGCAUGCCUUACACAUGCAAGUCGAACGGUAACGCGGGGCAACCUGGCGACGAGUGGCGAACGGGUGAGUAAUGCAUCGGAACGUGCCCAGUAGUGGGGGAUAGCCCGGCGAAAGCCGGAUUAAUACCGCAUACGACCUAAGGGUGAACGCGGGGGAUCGCAAGACCUCGCGCUAUUGGAGCGGCCGAUGUCAGCUUAGGUUGUUGGUGGGGUAAAAGCCUACCAAGCCGACGAUCUGUAGCUGGUCUGAGAGGACGACCAGCCACACUGGGACUGAGACACGGCCCAGACUCCUACGGGAGGCAGCAGUGGGGAAUUUUGGACAAUGGGGGCAACCCUGAUCCAGCCAUGCCGCGUGCGGGAAGAAGGCCUUCGGGUUGUAAACCGCUUUUGUCAGGGAAGAAACGCUCUGGGCUAAUACCCCGGGGUAAUGACGGUACCUGAAGAAUAAGCACCGGCUAACUACGUGCCAGCAGCCGCAGUAACAC